rnacentral:rRNA from 1 species
UGCUAMCAUGCAGUCGAACGAUGAAGCCUAGCUUGCUAGGUGGAUUAGUGGCGAACGGGUGAGUAAUACGUGAGUAACCUACCUUUAACUCUGGGAUAAGCCUGGGAAACUGGGUCUAAUACCGGAUACGACCAAUCUCCGCAUGGGGUGUUGGUGGAAAGCGUUAUGUAGUGGUUAUAGAUGGGCUCACGGCCUAUCAGCUUGUUGGUGAGGUAACGGCUCACCAAGGCGACSACGGGUAGCCGGCCUGAGAGGGUGACCGGCCACACUGGGACUGAGACACGGCCCAGACUCCUACGGGAGGCAGCAGUGGGGAAUAUUGCACAAUGGGCGCAAGCCUGAUGCAGCGACSCCSCGUGAGGGAUGACGGCCUUCGGGUUGUAAACCUCUGUUAGCAGGGAAGAAGAGAGAUUGACGGUACCUGCAGAGAAAGCGCCGGCUAACUACGUGCCAGCAGCCGCGGUAAUACGUAGGGCGCGAGCGUUGUCCGGAAUUAUUGGGCGUAAAGAGCUUGUAGGCGGUUUGUCGCGUCUGCUGUGAAAGGCCGGAGCUUAACUCCGUGUAUUGCAGUGGGUACGGGCAGACUAGAGUGCAGUAGGGGAGACUGGAAUUCCUGGUGUAGCGGUGGAAUGCGCAGAUAUCAGGAGGAACACCGAUGGCGAAGGCAGGUCUCUGGGCUGUAACUGACGCUGAGAAGCGAAAGCAUGGGGAGCGAACAGGAUUAGAUACCCUGGUAGUCCAUGCCGUAAACGUUGGGCACUAGGUGUGGGGGAACAUUCCACGUUUUCCGCGCCGUAGCUAACGCAUUAAGUGCCCCGCCUGGGGAGUACGGCCGCAAGGCUAAAACUCAAAGAAAUUGACGGGGGCCCGCACAAGCGGCGGAGCAUGCGGAUUAAUUCGAUGCAACGCGAAGAACCUUACCAAGGCUUGACAUAUACUGGACCGCAUCAGAGAUGGUGUUUCCCUUCGGGGCUGGUAUACAGGUGGUGCAUGGUUGUCGUCAGCUCGUGUCGUGAGAUGUUGGGUUAAGUCCCGCAACGAGCGCAACCCUCGUUCUAUGUUGCCAGCACGUAAUGGUGGGGACUCAUAGGAGACUGCCGGGGUCAACUCGGAGGAAGGUGGGGAUGACGUCAAAUCAUCAUGCCCCUUUGGGCUUCACGCAUGCUACAAUGGCCGGUACAGAGGGUUGCGAUACUGUGAGGUGGAGCUAAUCCCUAAAAGCCGGUCUCAGUUCGGAUUGGGGUCUGCAACUCGACCCCAUGAAGUCGGAGUCGCUAGUAAUCGCAGAUCAGCAACGCUGCGGUGAAUACGUUCCCGGGCCUUGUACACACCGCCCGUCAAGUCACGAAAGUUGGUAACACCCC